rnacentral:rRNA from 1 species
UACAGAGACUGCAAGCGUUAUUCGGAUUCACUGGGCGUAAAGGGUGCGCAGGCGGCCAAGUGUGUCAGGUGUGAAAUCCCGAGGCUUAACCUCGUAACUGCGCCUGAAACUACUUGGCUAGAGUACUGGAGAGGGUAACGGAAUUCACGGUGUAGCAGUGAAAUGCGUAGAUAUCGUGAGGAACACCAGAGGCGAAGGCGGUUACCUGGACAGUUACUGACGCUCAGGCACGAAAGCGUGGGGAGCAAAAGGG